UGAUUCCGAUCUGUAUUAAAGAAUUUAUUAAAAUGAGAGUUAGGGAGUGUUACAAAAUAGAACCGAUAUCCGAAAAAUUCCAUCGAAACCCGAACGCUUAGGCCUAAUCAAUAUUACUAUUAGCUUUUUCAAAAAGAAACAUGUCAACCCAUGAUAAUACCAUUAUAUGAUGGAUACUAAAAUAUACCAUUACAAUAUCCCCACCCAAUCGAAUUUUACCAAAAGAAAAUUAACGCUAAGCGCAAUUGAUAGAUAACCAAAAAAAGGAUAACCAAAAAUAUGUUGCUGGGAAAAAGAGGGUUGAGUUUGAACCUCGAGCACUAUUAAAUAUUUAUAGGGUUUUUAAUAAGAACAUAACGAUUUAUGAAGUUGAAAAGACAAAUGAUUCAAACUUUAUGUUGUGCCACAUGCUCACACGUAUAGUUAUAUACUGCAUUUAUAUUAUGAGUUACCACGAUAUUUUGAAUUAUAUAGUGUUUUGAUAUGUUUUGAUAUGACUAUCAUUGGUAAUUAUUGGUUAUCUCUCCUCUUCCGAGAGAGAGAAUUAUCUCUAUUCUCUCCCCUUCUUCACAAUACAAAAUCUUUCAGAAGGAUAGAUAAAUCAUUUUGUUCUUUUGUUGCAAUAUAGAUUCGAUCUUAGGAUCAAUGUUUUCUUCCGAUUAGCGGAUUUUAAAUUUAGCGUAGGCAAUUUUGUUGUAGUUUUCAAACCAACCUUGGAUCUGUUCUUCAUGUUCAUCAAUCUUAUUUUCCAGUUUUGGUUUGAAAUUUAAUAAAUUCGGAUCAUGUUUUCGGCUUGUCCGAUAGUAUAUAUUCGUUUGGCGACUUUUGUUUUGCUCUAAAUAAACUACUCUGAUCUUUGUGAUUAGAGUUUUCUUAGUUAUAAUGAUCAUCAUGUUCUGCAAAUCCUCUGAAUCCUGUUUUGCUUGGAUCAAGACUUCUUCUUCAAAGGCUAUGCACGAAUUCCUUCUAGACAAGAGUCAAUCUUUACUCAUCCAUAAAUAUGGAUUCGAUAGCACCAAAGAGUAAAGUAUCUUCAAUGGAAGAAAGAUGCGUUGUGAAAUAUUUCAGCUGAUUUAAAGGAGAUCGGUAGAGUUAGCAUCCCUUGAGCAAGGAUGGUCUAACGAAGAUUCUACUCUUCAACCAGUUGGGUUUUUCUUGCUUUAUAACCGGAGCGGAUAUAAGCUUUAAUAUAAAGUAGCAGCUACGGUGGAAGAUCGGAGAUGGAGUACAAGGACAGAGGGUUGCAGCUGAGUGGUGAAGCACAUGUUGGAAGACACAGUGGUUUGAAGAUGAAAACUACCGGCAGCGAUUCUAUUGUGAAUCUCGAUUUGCUUGUAUUACUUUUGCCACCUAGCUUAAUAUUCUUUAUUCUGCUUACACACGUGUAUCUGUGUUUGCACGCAUGAUGGACAAAAUGUUGUACUCCUUGUAAUCAAAUCAAAGAUGUUAACAAAAACAAGAUAUGACUAUCAUUCUUUUUGUCGCGUUUAAAAUUAUAGUGUUUGUUGCACAUGAAAAUGACUUGGGGUUACUAAAAUCCCUAAGAAUAUUAUUAAUAUAGAGCUAUUUUGUUUUGUCUCGAUCUAUAAUAAUAUUUUAAUAUAAAAGUUAUUUUAUUUUAAUUUGAUUUCAACACUACGUCUCUUCCACCAUUCACAAUGGAAGUGUUGAAACUCUUGCAAUGAGAGUGCUGAUAAAUUGAAUUAAUCUACAUGGCUCCAACAUCCGUUACAAAGUUUCAACAGUUGAAAAAAAAUUGUGGACCGCUGCUGUUACAUAUCGCGUUGUGAGCGGAUUUAUUGACUGUACAAAUUGUUUUUGAUUUUUAUCCUCACCCAAUAAUUUAAAUGUAUUUUUUAUAUAAUAAAACCUUUUUAAAAUAAUAAAAUUAUAUCAAAAUUUAAGAUUUUUUCUAAUCUAUAAACAGAAACUACUCUUUUUUUAUUUGGAUACAAAAAAAUAUCAUUUUUUUUAUAAUCAACUAUUUUAGUUUUUGAAACCUUUUUUUGUUAAGAAAACUUUUAUUAAUAUUGAUUUUGGUAUUAUUUAUUGUACAUGGUCUUAGCGAGCAGAGGUUUCGUAAACCAUCGUGCCACUUUAUUAUAGCCGUUGAUUUUUCUAACGGAACUGACUUGAUCAUUUCUCUAAUAUAAAAUUAAUUAAAACAAAGAUUUCCGAUGAGAUAAUUAAAUCGCCGAUUCAGUACUCUUUCAAGUAACCUAGUGAAUCUUUGCAUGUGUGAGUCUGUGUGUAUAAUAUACUAAUAUAACUUGACGUAUAUUGUUGAUGAUAAGUAUAUUUUGGGAAAAUAUCCCAACAUUCAUAAUCAGUUACAAAAAGUACAAAAUUGAAAAAAGGUACAAAAAUCUAUACGAGUCCAAAAGACACGAUGAGUGAGCUUUAAAUAGCUUUUGGAAAAUAUCCCAACACUUAAUCGCAAAAAGACCAAAUACAGACAGACUCAUGUCUUGCCUAUGGAUCUUUCUCGUUUUUUGACAUAUGUUAAAUCAGUAUUUUACGUAUACUAUAUAUACUUUAUAUAUAUAUAUAUAUAUAUAUAUAUAUAUAUAUAUAUAUAUAUAUAUGCUUAAUGCUAUAUUCUAUGCAGAAUUCGUUGAAUUUCAGUUUUUUUUUCACUUAUGUAUGAAUGUCACGAUACCAUUUUUUUUUGUCAUCUGUAAUUUUCAUUCAAAGACCAUAACAAGUCAUAAGGUAACAAAACAGUGAGGAACCUACAAUUAGAUCCAACAACAACCAAGUCUACAAGGAUUAUGCUCCUUCCCCAAAAAUAUGAUCUAUCAAGAGGAUCAACAUAAGGCCAACCAAUGAACUUCACACAAAAAAACAACAAACAUUUUCAGCCAUCAGCUUAAGGAACCAACUACACAUAGGGAAUGGCUUCCUCACCUUCAAAAAGAUAACGCAACCAAAGCGGGGCGCCCUUUGCAACAUAUGAUUGAUAAUAACCCCUUUUGAUGACGCUUUAGCUAUGAGGAAAGCCCAUGUAUUAGUUGAUUUAUCUUCCUUCAUCACUCUCCACCGCUCCAAUUUCUUUAAUCUAGUCAUGAUCUCUGCAUACUGACAUCUGAAGUUCGGCCAUGCUUUUGGUAUGAGGAUCACAUUAGGUAGUGUUGCAUCAUCUAUCGCCAAGAUCACUCUGUUUAGAUGAUGUGCAUGGCAACUGUCCAAAUCCCAAAGGAGACCAUUGUACUUUGCGUCCUGAAGAGAGUUUGUGUCCGAGAAGGCCCUCCGACUGUGCAUUUGGACCUUUCCACGAUCAUCCCUUACCACCCAUGAAACUCCAAGUUUGAUUCUUGUUCCAAGCUAUUCCAACAUUGCAUUUUAGCCAACCACGCGGAGGAACGGACCAAGAUUUCAUAACUUCCAUCUCUGCCUCCUGUUCUUCCUUCUUUUUCCUUGACUCAUUUUGUUGAGCCAAAAACGAAAAGUCUGCCUCUUCCCUUAUUUUCAAAACCAGUUCCAUCGGAGAGUACUUUUUUUCCUUCAAAAAUCACCCUGUUUCUAUAUUUCCAUAAAUACCACACUAUCCAGGGAAUGGUAUUUCUCACUCUCUCCUCGAUUGCUCUAUUAUUCAUCAUCAAGAACAGACAGUGAAAAUUAGAGUAAUGCGAGAUACUGUCGAAACCAAUUGAGGGAGAGGGACAUUGGCUAAGGCCCACACUAGUCUUGCUAUAGAACAUCCAAAGAUGAUGUGAUUGAUAGAUUCACCCUGAAACCCACAAGCUUGGCACACUGGAUCCAAAUUAAUUCUUCUUUUGACCAGCAGUUCACCAACAGAGAUUGCAUUACUGAUUGCUCUCCAUAUAAAAGUCUUGAUCUUAGGGGCAGUGGCCAUUUUCCAAACUUCAGCUUUCAAUUCAUUCAACGAGGGCCUCGCUUCUGCUACUCUGAUCUCCUCUGGUCUGUUCAGUUUGUUGAUGAACCAAUACCCAGACUUGACUGAAUAGCUACCAUUUUUAUUAUGUAACCAGACCCAGUAGUCUUGUUGAUCAAACGCAGUUUUCAUCGCCAGAAUUCUGUUGAUAUCUUCCUCAUAAAACAGCUCUUCCAGUUUUUCGGAGUUCCAACAUUUAUUUUGAGUAUCAACUAGUUGAUCAACCGUAAGCAGCAAGUCAACGAAGAUAUUUUUCAUCAACAAUACCAUUUAUAAAAAAACAACUUUUAUAACACAACAAAAUAAUAUAAUGUCUAACCAUAAAUUAUAUAUUUCCUGCAUAACUCCCAAAAAAUAUAACACAAUCUUAAAAACUAAAUUUCAAAUGCAAAAAUGUGAACUAUAUAACCAAAACUAUGUUAUACAUCCCAAAACAAUACAUUUUAUUCUAUGUAGAGCAUAUAUAAUAGAAUGUUACAUUUUCUUUUUGUUAAUCUAUAUUUUCUAACUCAACAAAACAACGUAAAAGCUUCCAAAAAAGAAAAACAACGUAAACCUAAAUAAUAGAUUUAGAAAUUUAAUUCAUCCCCAAAAACUAAGACUAAUAUAACAAAACUAUUACAAGGCCAACAGAAAAUGAGAAUAAUCACGCCUUGUAAAAUC